GAUGAACGCUGGCGGCGUGCUUAACACAUGCAAGUCGAACGGAAAGGCUCCUGCUUGCAGGGGUACUCGAGUGGCGAACGGGUGAGUAACACGUGGGUGAUCUGCCCUGCACUUCGGGAUAAGCCUGGGAAACUGGGUCUAAUACCGGAUAGGACCACAUUUUGGAUGGUGUGGUGGAAAGUUUUUCGGUGUGGGAUGAGCUCGCGGCCUAUCAGCUUGUUGGUGGGGUAAUGGCCUACCGAGGCGUCGACGGGUAGCCGGCCUGAGAGGGUGUACGGCCACAUUGGGACUGAGAUACGGCCCAGACUCCUACGGGAGGCAGCAGUGGGGAAUAUUGCACAAUGGGCGCAAGCCUGAUGCAGCGACGCCGCGUGGGGGAUGACGGCCUUCGGGUUGUAAACUCCUGUCGCUAGGGACGAAGCGUUUUUGUGACGGUACCUGGAGAAGAAGCACCGGCUAACUACGUG
rnacentral:rRNA from 1 species